GUGGUGGAUCGAAGUGUUUGGUCCGGAUGGUCUCAAUGGUCACCUUGUUCUCGAGUCUGUGGGGGAGGAGUUGUGCUCGAAACCAGGCGCUGCUUUCUUAGACAUAAAUACUCCAGAUCGGACGACAAAUCACACGUAAAAAAAGAGACCAGUAGCAACUGCGUGGGCCCGUACAGACGAAUGCGUUUGUGCAACAAUCACAACUGUGCGUCAGGCACGAAAAGUUUUUUCCAAGAACAGUGUGAAGAAUUCAAUGGGAAGCCAAUGAUGGGAGGACGAGUCUACAAUUGGGAAGCAUUCCUAAAUGCUCCGAACCAGUGCGCUCUGAACUGUCGCGCAAUUGGCUUCGGCUUCUACGCGACUCUCAAGCCAAGCGUGAAAGAUGGAACUCCCUGCAAAGGACCGGAAAAGGAUAGCGGGCGCUGGAUGUGCGUUUCCGGUAUCUGCACGGUGAGUGAGCUUCGCAGUUCAUUUCCUCGAGCCUCCAAAUGUGUGUCACUACAGUCGACCGAUUUCCUAUCAAUCGCACAUGCAUAAUACUGUCCCUCCAUUUAAUCAUCUUUAUCCAUCCUUGCACGGUAAUUCUUGAGACAGGACAGGCGCUUAAUCGAUGUGUCGUCAUUUGUUGACCUGUCCUAUCGAAUCAAUGGAACUUGGAGAGGUCAGUGCCCUGGAAGAGUUGAGUAGAGGCUGAGCGAUCUCAUCCUCGUCCGCUUAUGGUAGCUGAGGCAAAACUCAGGGAACUAUCUCGUGUAAUAUCAAUGAUGUUCUUAAAAGAAAAGUACACACUGAAAAAAAAUUCUCGGCGUUUUAUACCAAGGUCCGUUGGUAACUUUACCAUCUCACUUUUUUUACCAACUAUUGGUAAUGUUACCAAGACAAACUGGUAAGCUUACCUAAAAACCGGUAUUUUUACUGGUUUUUUUCAGGUAAGAAUACCACUUUUAACAAGGUGGAGAAAUGGUGCUGGGUCCACACCAUUUCGCGGGGAAAACAAGGCCAAGAAGUUCCAAAAAUUAAAAUUAGAGUCAAAAUUAAAAAUACCGAGAUUUCUCGGUAAAAUUACCUAUACCAUAGAUGGUAAUUUUACCAAGAAAAAACAGGGAUCAAAUAGAACCCUGAAUUCUCGGUAAUUUUACCCUUUUCUUGGUAAAUACACCGAGAUUUUUUUUCAGUGCAGGAUAGCGCGGUCUACUCUCAUUUUGAACAUGUUUUCAAAUGUCUUUAAAAUGGCCAAUACCGUACCCUAUUCAUUGCAGGCCUACAAUAGCGAUUGAAGCUGUUGUAUAAAGCACAAUUAAGAACAAAAUUCCAAUCUCUGGUGCUUACAUUUGAUUCUCAAGAGAGUUUUAGUAG
rnacentral:lncRNA from 1 species